rnacentral:misc_RNA from 1 species
GAAUUUGGGGGUUUUUAGGGACACGAUUGAGCUAAUGUUCGAGGAUAAUAUUACUAAAAGACUCUUGAAGAUUGGAGUUUAUAGAGCCAUUGAUAUACUUGAGGUUAGUGUCCUCACCAUUAUGUCUUUCUUACAUAUAUUAUGCGUCGUAUCAAUGUUUUUGUUUGUGGGUAUUGAUGGAAAUAUUGUUUAAUACUGUGGAUAUAAUAAUUUUGGAUUUGAUUGAAAAAAAAAAAAAUCAUAGCAGACUAUAUUUGGAUUGCGGCAUUUGUGGAAGAACAUUGAAUUAUCAAACAUGAAUCAUGAAAAAUUGAGUUUGGGAAAGAGCAU